rnacentral:lncRNA from 1 species
CACUUGUGAUGGAACAUGAUGGAGGAUGUGAGAAAAAGAAUGUAUAUGUGUAACUAGGUCACUUUGCUGUACAGCAGAAAUUGACAGAACAUUGUAAAUCAACUAUAAUAAAAUUUUUUUUAAGUACUGGGGAAAAAACUCCUGACACUAAACCUUAUCUAUAAAAAACCUUUUCAACCACUUCAUAUUCAUUAUUUUAAGUUUUUGGAGCACAUCUGAUAUUUGCGUCAAAAGAUGAAUUCUUCUUGCAUCAGGACAUAACAGAUAUGUGAUUUAUAGGAGUAUUAAAGACUCCUGCUCAUGUUCUAACCAGAAAAACAUUAACUGAAUCCAUCCUUUGGGUCUUUGAUAAAAUUACCUGUACAAAGCAGUUUAGAUCACUGAUUUAAUACUAAAGGAAGGACUGAAGAGAAGGAAGGGGACAAACGAUGCUAAGUUUCAUACACCUGCACACACCUGAGCCAGUAUUUUAAGCUUCAUCCAUUUGCUUCCUAAAUUCUUUUCUGAAAGGUAGAUUCUUAUAUACUGAUAUAGUGUAUCACUGAUUAUACCGAUUGUUCAAGACACAUGAGAUGAUUAGAAAGCUCUGCAUUUAUUUUAUACAUGAGAGAAAAAUGAAGCAACACAUCACAAGCAUUUCUUUAUGGAUGGUAAUAUUUAGAAUGAUACUAAAGUAGGCACUGAAAUUGUUUUUGUUUUUUGCUCUUUAGGGACCUGCACAGAUGGAGUUUCCCAAGCUAGGGGUUGAACUAGAGCUACAACUGCUGGCCUACACUACAGCCCACAGCAAUGUGAAAUCCGAGCUGUUUUUGCAACCUACAGCACAGCUCAUGGCAAUGCCGACCCUUAACCCACAGAGCAAGGCCAGGGAUCGAACCUGCAUCCUCCUGGAUCCUAGUUGGGCUCCUUAAUCGCCAAGCCACAAAGGGAAUUCCCUGUUUGUUUAAUGAAUGGAUUUAAGGAAGGAUAUUAAAUAAGUACUCAUCUUUUGGUUAAUAAAAAUCCUCAGAUAUGGCAGAAAUCAUGAAUUUUUGACAAUGCGUGAAGUGUGAGAAGCACCACUACAGAGGAUGAUGGGGCUUUUAUCCUUUCUACAUCCUCAAUGAUCAUUGCAGUUCUUGCUUACAACAUCGCAGAUGUGCUUCCAGUUUUAGAUUGCAUCACAUUUUCUUCCCUGACCUAGUUCCUCUAACUCCUGACUCUCCAGUAAAUGAGUGAGUUACGGUUGGGUGAUUAGAUAGAUAGAUGAAAAGAUGACUUUUACAGACUACGGCGUAUUUCACAUCUAAAUCCGAGUAGCUGAUGGGCUACUAUAAGUUAUUAUGUCUCAAAGAAAAGAAGUGUCACACAACACUGCAGCUCAUAGAAGGCCAGAAUAGAGCUGAUUUUCUUUUAUAACCAAACAGGGCUUUGAACAUGGCAUGACAUGACAAAUAACCACCCCCGCUCUCUUAGCAUGUGGCUAACUCUUCUACCAGCCACAAGAGCUACCAUCUCUUUGAUUGGCAUUCUUUGCAAAAUCACCUCACUCUGCAGUUUCUGAGCAUUUGGAAGGAUGACAAAGGUUUCAGCUUAGUUUUAGCUAGAGCGGCAGAUUCAGAAAAAGAAAACCAAAAGGAGAGAAAGCAGUAUUCAUCCACUGAUAAAUAAUUCAGGGUAUGCUGUAGGCAGGGCACUGUUCCUGACAUAGACACCUUCCUUUGUCACAGCAGGUAAAUAGUGAGACAAGAAGUUCCAGUGAUUUUGAAAGGCUGCCACCCAAAGCAAAUGACACCUUCACCAUCACUUAUUCCAACUACUUACUAUGAAAAUUUUCAGUCAUACAGAAGAAAUAGAGUAUAGCAACCAGCCUUAUACUCAUCACCCAGAUUCCAUAAUGGUUAUAAUGGUGUAAUGGUCUUGCUGUUUUUUUCCUAUUUUUUUCUUCCUGUAUCAUUUAAAAAUAAAUUGCAAAAAGAUAUCAGGAUGGUGAAGUAGGAGGAUGAGGAAUUCACCCCUCCCCGCACCCUCCAUGAAUACAUCAAAAAUACAUCUCUACAUGUGGAGCAAUUUUCACUGAAAACUAACUGGAGACUGACAGAAUGACUCUUGUAGAACCAAGGCCGUAAGAAAGAUCCAUACAGAAUUGGGUAGGAAGGGAAGAAGCAGCAAUCAGGUCAAGACCUGAUUGACCUGAGCCCCAGGGAAGGGACUCAGAAGAGGAGGGGGAUUACAUGGGCAGAGAUCCCCCCUGGGGAGUAAGCAGUUCAAGCCAUGUAUUGACCACACCAGCCCUUGGGUAGGGUCUGACAUGGGGAAGAUAAAUCCCCUAGGCUGUCUGGAAAGCCAAUAGGACUAACAGGAGGAAUGUGGGAAGCCUGUACUCUGCCUGUGAGGAGCAUGUACAUGCUUGCUUACUCCCAAAACAAGGCAGAGAGGGGGCAGAUUGAAACUGCCUGGGAUUCUGGCAGGUUUCUUGCAACUGCCCUGGCACACAAGCCAGCCUGAGCUGAGUGCUUGCACCAGCCCUGCCUGCUCUGCAGCACAGAGCCACAGUGAGUGAGGGCUGCACUGGCCAAGGGGAGAGUCAGCUGUGAGGGAUGAUGGUGGCUUGGACCUGGAAUGGCUUCUGAGUGGGGAGGGGGAGACCAUGAACUCAUGUUCAUGGAGGUAGUGCAUCAGAAGCCAUCUGGGGCCCUGACUGUGGUCAUGGCCACCACAGCCUGGCUCAUGCCAAACACCAGCACCAGUUCCUCUUGCUCCAGCACUGCUCGCUCCCCUCUGGGAAAAGGAAUCAGUGCUGGGAUAGUGGAGAGAACAUAUUUAAAGGAAACAGAGCUAGUUAGCCCUGGCUCUCAGGGCUUCUGCUCCAGCAAUUGGGACUUGCUGGCCCCUAAGCACAAGAGAAGCCCUGGCUCAAACCUGGUGCUGGCUCUAGCCCCUUCAACUCCAGCUCACCCCCUACCAAGGUGAUAGCUAACAGCACACUCUGGAGAAAGGGGUGGAAAAUGUAUUUGAUGAAAUUAUGGCUGAAAACUUCCCAAAACUGAAGAAGGAAACAUAUCCAGGUACAGGAAGCACAGCAUAUCCCAAACAAGAUGAACCCAAACACACCCACACCAAGAAAUAUCAUAAUUAAAAUAACAAAGGUUAAAGAGAGGAUUCUAAAGAUAGCAAGAGAAAAAUAAAAGAGUCAUAUAUACAAGGGGACCCCCACAUAAAAUGAUAAAUGUUUUUUUCUGUAGAAACUUUGCAGGCCAGAAGGGAGUGGCAUGAUAUAUUUAAAGAGCUGAAAGGGAAAAUCCUGCAACCUAGGAUACUCUGCCUAGUAAUACUAUAAUUUAGAACUGAAGGAGAGAUAAAGAACUUCUCAGACAAAUGAAAACUAAGAGUUCACCAAUACUAAACCUACCCUAAAAGAAAAGUUAAAGGUUCUUCUAAAUAGAAAAGAAAAGGCUAUAAGAAGAAACACCCAUAGGAAAGGGAAAAUCCCACUAGUAAAGGCAAAUAUACAUGAAAGGAUCAACCCCUUAAAAAGGCUAGUACAAAGAUUGAAAGGCAAAAAAUGUAAAAUCAACUAUAAUAAUCAGUAAUGUAUAAACAUAAAGGUUUAAAAUGACAUCAAAAAGACAAAAUGUGUGAGAGAGGAGUAAAUAGUGUAGAUCCUUUAUAAAGUGCUUGAAUUUAAAUGACUAUCAGUUUAAAACAAGUAGAUAUAAUUUUAGGUCAACAUAUAUGAAUGAACCCCAUGGUAACCACACCAAAACCUACAACAGAUGCACAAAAGCUAGAGAGAAAGUAAUACCAGCAUGCCAUUAAAGAAAAAUCAACAGAGAAUUCUCAUCAUGGCUCAGCAGAAAGAACCUGACUAGGUUCAAUCCCUGGCCUCACUCAGUGGGUUAAGGAUCCGGUGUUGCAAUGAGCUGUGGUGUAGGUCGCAGAUGGGGCUCAGAUCCCACGUUGCUGUGGCAUAGGCCAGCAGCUACAGCUUCAAUUCUGCCCCUAGCCUGAGAACCUCCAUAUACUAUGGGUGUAGCCCUAAAAAGACAAAAACAAAACAACAACAACAACAAAAUCAACAAAUCAAACCACAAAGGAAGAAACUAAAAGAAGAACAGAGAGGAACAACAAAACAACCAGAAAACAAGUAACAAAAAGGGUAAUUAGUAUAUACCUAUCUAUAAUCACUGUGUCAAUGGACCAAAAAUGCUCCAAUCAAAAGAUAUAAGGUGGUUGAUUAGAUAAAGAACUAAGACCCAUUUAUAUGCUGCUUACAAAGAGACUCACUUUAGAGAUAAAGACACACAGAGAGUGAAAGUGAAGGGAUGGGAAAAGAUAUUUCAUGCAAAUGGAAACAGGAAGACAGUGGGAGUAGCAAUAUACACAUCAAACAAAAUCAACUUGAAACAAAGUGAGACUAUAACAAAAGACAAGGUCAUUGUACAAUGAUGAAGGGAUCAAUACAAGGAAAGGAUAUAACACUUGUUAACAUAUGUGCAUCUAAUACGGGAACACCUGAAUACAUAAAGCAAAUAUUAACAGACAUCCAAGGGGGAAACCAACAAUAACACAAAAACAGUAGAGACCUUUAACAUCCCACUUACAUCCCUGGACAGAGGAUCCAGCAGAAAAUCAAUAAGGAAACAGCAGUCUUAAUGGAAAGUUUAGACCACCUGGACUAUUAGAUGCCUAUGAGACAUCUCAUCCCAAAACAGCAGAAUACACAUGCUUUUCAAGUGCAUAUGGAACGUUCUCCAGGAUAAAUCAUGUGCUUGGCCACAAAAACAAGUCUCAACAAAGAUGAGAGGACAGAAAUUACAUCAAGCAUUUUUAAUAGCACAAUAGUAUGAAACUAGAAAUCAAUUAUGGGAAGAAAAAUGGGAAGAACACAAACUGAACAACAUAGUUUGUGGAGACUAAACAACAUACUAUUAAAAAAAAAAAAAGAAAAAGAAAAGAAAAACAAAGAAAAAAGGAGGAGUUCCCAUUGUGGUGCAGCAGAAACGAAUCCAACUAGCAUCCAUGAGGAUGCAGGUUUGAUCCAUGGCCUCACUCAGUGGGUCAGGGAUCUAGCAUUGCUAUGAACUAUGGUGUAGGUUGCAGACAUGGCUGGGAUCCCAGGUUGCUGUGGUGUAGGUUGGCAACUGUGGCUCCAACUGGACCCCUAGCCUGGGAAAUUCCAUAUGCCGUGGAUGUGGCCCUAAAAAGAAAAACAAAAA